AUACGUAGGGAGCAAGCGUUGUCCGGAAUUACUGGGCGUAAAGGGUGCGUAGGUGGUCAAGUAAGUCAGAUGUGAAAGCCCGGGGCUUAACCCCGGGGUUGCAUUUGAAACUGUUUGACUUGAGUGCAGGAGAGGGAAGUGGAAUUCCUAGUGUAGCGGUGAAAUGCGUAGAUAUUAGGAGGAACACCAGUGGCGAAGGCGACUUUCUGGACUGUAACUGACACUGAAGCACGAAAGCGUGGGGAGCAAACAGGAUUAGAUACCCUGGUAGUCCACGCCGUAAACGAUGGAUACUAGGUGUGGGGCCCGAUAGGGUUCCGUGCCGAAGCAAACGCAUUAAGUAUCCCGCCUGGGGAGUACGAUCGCAAGGUUGAA
rnacentral:rRNA from 1 species